rnacentral:rRNA from 1 species
UUUAAUCGAUUUCUUCGGAUUGAAAUUUUAGUGACUGAGUGGCGGACGGGUGAGUAACGCGUGGGUAACCUGCCUCACACAGGGGGAUAACAGUUGGAAACGGCUGCUAAUACCGCAUAAGCGCACAGUACCGCAUGGUACAGUGUGAAAAACUCCGGUGGUGUGAGAUGGACCCGCGUCUGAUUAGCCAGUUGGCGGGGUAACGGCCCACCAAAGCGACGAUCAGUAGCCGGUCUGAGAGGAUGAACGGCCACACUGGAACUGAGACACGGUCCAAACUCC